rnacentral:rRNA from 1 species
UACGGAGGGUGCAAGCGUUAUCCGGAUUUACUGGGUUUAAAGGGUGCGUAGGUGGAUUUGUAAGUCAGUGGUGAAAUCUCCGAGCUUAACUCGGAAACUGCCAUUGAUACUAUAAGUCUUGAAUUAUCUGGAGGUAAGCGGAAUAUGUCAUGUAGCGGUGAAAUGCGUAGAUAUGACAUAGAACACCGAUUGCGAAGGCAGCUCACUGCGUAUCGAUUGACACUGAGGCACGAAAGCGUGGGGAGCAAACAGG